GAAGUAAACCUGAUAGAUUGUUGCUGGUUCUUUAAUGAACAUGUGCACAUCUGUCAUCUUUAUAUCUCCACCUGUGCACCUUUUGUAGACCUGGACAAGUUUCUUAAUCCUAGUAUUAAGGUUUUGGGAUUGACUUUAUUGACUUUCCUUAUAUUUCUGGGUCUAUGUUUAUUCAAAUACCCUAAUGUAUGUUAUAGAAUGUAAUAAGUGGGCCUUUGUGCCUAUAACAAUAUACAACUUUCAGCAACGGAUCUCUUGGCUCU
rnacentral:misc_RNA from 1 species